rnacentral:lncRNA from 1 species
AUAGGUAUCAAUUGAGUAUUUGUAAAGACACUGCACAGUUAGGAGUGGAGCUAUGUAGAAUAAGUAGUUAUUUUCAGAAUGUAGAUACCUAGUGUAUAGUGUAAAUAGGGAUAGAUAACUGUUGAAAAGGUGGUUCAGCAGGUAGAAUGGAUGAAUAGUCAAAAAAAGUAAUUAUCAUCUAUAGUAUAGGAGUUGGUAUCUCGGGGUAGUAUAAGGAGGAUGGGAGAGGGGAAGAAAAUGCCAGACUGUGAGAGUUGUGAGCCGAGGGCAGACUGUGAUAGUACUGAGCCAGGGAUAAGCUUAGUGCUAUUUCUUCUUCUUAGUUUUCUUGUUUCUUUUGUAUUAGUGUUGAUUCUAAUGAAGAGAAUCGAUUUAAUGAAUUAAUGUUUGAUUUACAAAAUUAUUUAUGGAUCACUAUUUAUCAAUUGUUGUGAAAGAUUGAGGACGUAUGGAAGUUUCCACUCACUGUUUAUCGCAAGGUUGUAAGUUUAGUGGAGAGAAAUUAUAAUUGAAGGAAUUGUCUUGAUUUGAUUCUGUGGAUUGGAAGUUGUUUGUUCCAGGGUUUGGAAUAUGCUUGUGUGUUCGUGAAUUACACAGGGUACUGAAAUCGUUGUCAUGGAUGUUAUUGUAUUGAUAUAAGAGAGUGGAGAGUAGGAAGAAAAGUUAAG